rnacentral:rRNA from 1 species
AAAGAAACUAACAAGGAUUCCCCUAGUAACGGCGAGUGAAGCGGGAAAAGCCCAGCACCGAAUCCCUGGUCGCUGACGUGGCCAGGGAACUGUGGCGUUGGGGACAUUCGCUUGCUUGGCAUGCCUCGCGCUCGAGUUCUCUUGAUUGGGGCUUCGCCCAUAGUGGGUGUCAGGCCUGUACGGCGCGUUGGGCUGCUGAGCUUGAGGUGUCCCGGGAGUCGGGUUGUUUGGGAAUGCAGCCCUAAGCGGGUGGUAAACUCCAUCUAAGGCUAAAUACCGACACGAGUCCGAUAGCGGACAAGUACCGUGAGGGAAAGUUGAAAAGGACUUUGAAGAGAGAGUUCAAGAGUACGUGAAACCGUUUAGAGGCAAACGGAUGGCACCGUGCAGUUCAGCCCGCGCAAUUCAGCUAUGCCGCCGCCGGGGCGCUCGGGAGAGUCGGAUCCUCGCGGAACGUGCUCUUUCUUGUUGUUUCGGUGCGGCGAGUGCAUUUUGCGCGCGGCCCAAGCCACGACCGUUUCGGCUCGGCGGCCAGAAGCCCUCGGGAAAGGUGACUCCCCCUUCGGGGCGGAGCGUUAUAGACUCGGGAGGUGUUGGCCCGCUGCCGGAGCGAGGUAGCUCUAGCCGCCGCGUCGGCGCCGGGGCGUCCUUGUGGGUUCGACUGGAGUUCACUGUCGUCAGUGUUCGCCGACCGCUCGCGGGGAGGUGCUCGGAUGUCCGGCGUGGUCACGGGGUCUGUGGCGAUUCCAUCGGCAGGCUAUCCGACCCGUCUUGAAACACGGA